GACGAACGCUGGCGGCGUGCCUAAUACAUGCAAGUCGAACGAGAGCGCCCGGUGCUUGCACUGGUCAAUCUAGUGGCGAACGGGUGAGUAACACGUGGGUAACCUGCCCAUCAGAGGGGGAUAACAUCCGGAAACGGAUGCUAAAACCGCAUAGGUCUUCGAGCCGCAUGGCUUGAAGAGGAAAAGAGGCGCAAGCUUCUGCUGAUGGAUGGACCCGCGGUGCAUUAGCUAGUUGGUGAGGUAACGGCUCACCAAGGCCGUGAUGCAUAGCCGACCUGAGAGGGUGAUCGGCCACAUUGGGACUGAGACACGGCCCAGACUCCUACGGGAGGCAGCAGUAGGGAAUCUUCCGCAAUGGACGCAAGUCUGACGGAGCAACGCCGCGUGAGUGAAGAAGGUGUUCGGAUCGUAAAACUCUGUUGUUAGAGAAGAACAAGUGCUAGAGUAACUGUUAGCGCCUUGACGGUAUCUAACCAGAAAGCCACGGCUAACUACGUG
rnacentral:rRNA from 1 species